GGGGGUCAUAAUGGCAGUCGAGGGGCAGCGGGGAGGUACAAUACUUCCGCCGGCGACCGGCGCACGGGUGAGUAACACGUAUGGAACCUGCCCGUAGCAGGGGGAUAAGCGGAAGAAAUUCCGUCUAAUACCGCGUAAUAACUCCGAGAGGCAUCUCAUGGAGUUUAAAGGGCAACACCGGCUACGGAUGGCCAUGCGGCGCAUUAGCUAGUUGGCGGGGUAACGGCCCACCAAGGCGACGAUGCGUAGGGGUUCUGAGAGGAAGGUCCCCCACACUGGUACUGAGACACGGACCAGACUCCUACGGGAGGCAGCAGUGAGGAAUAUUGGUCAAUGGGCGCGAGCCUGAACCAGCCAAGUCGCGUGAGGGAAGACGGUCCUAUGGAUUGUAAACCUCUUUUGUCGGGGAGCAAAAGACGCCACGUGUGGCGUUCCGAGAGUACCCGAAGAAAAAGCAUCGGCUAACUCCGUGCCAGCAGCCGCGGUAAUACGGAGGAUGCGAGCGUUAUCCGGAUUUAUUGGGUUUAAAGGGUGCGCAGGCGGAAGAUCAAGUCAGCGGUAAAAUUGAGAGGCUCAACCUCUUCGAGCCGUUGAAACUGGUUUUCUUGAGUGAGCGAGAA
rnacentral:rRNA from 1 species